UACAGAGGGGGCAAGCGUUGUUCGGAAUUACUGGGCGUAAAGCGUGUGUAGGCGGCUCUGCAAGUCGGGUGUGAAAUCCCAUGGCUCAACCAUGGAAGUGCACUCGAAACUGCAGGGCUAGAGUCCUGGAGAGGAAGGUGGAAUGCUUGGUGUAGAGGUGAAAUUCGUAGAUAUCAAGCGGAACACCGGUGGCGCAGGCGGCCUUCUGGACAGUGACUGACGCUGAGACGCGAAAGCGUGGGGAGCAAACAGG
rnacentral:rRNA from 1 species